rnacentral:lncRNA from 1 species
UGAUUGUUGUUUUCGGGUUGUUUCUUAUUGUUAGAGUUUCGAACCGCUUCGAAGUAUGAGGAUUCGUUUGACUAUGUUGGUUCGUCUGCUUCACGGAGUCGUUCUUCUUCCAAGCGGGAUCAUAUGCGAGAUGAUCAUUUCUCUAGAUACCACUACUAUCAUUGCUAUGCUAGUUGUCUUGCUUCUAUCGUUAUUUCUCACUGCCUACCAUCUGUUAUGUUAAGCAUCCCAACAUUGCCAUGAAAAGCCUCUAACCC